rnacentral:rRNA from 1 species
AUUGAACGCUAGCGGCAGGCCUAACACAUGCAAGUCGAACGAGUGGCGGACGGGUGAGUAAUGUCUGGGAAACUGCCUGAUGGAGGGGGAUAACUACUGGAAACGGUAGCUAAUACCGCAUACUUUCGGAUCUGCCCAGAUGGGAUUAGCUAGUAGGUGGGGUAAAGGCUCACCUAGGCGCCGAUCCCUAGCUGGUCUGAGAGGAUGACCAGCCAAACUGGAACUGAGACACGGUCCAGACUCCUACGGUAGGCAGCAGUGGGGAAUAUUGGACAAUGGGUGCAAGCCGGAUGCAGCCAUGCCGCGUGUAUGAAGAAGGCCUUCGGGUUGUAAAGUACUUUCAGCGGGGAGGCGUUACCCGCAGAAGAAGCACCGGCUAACUACGUGCCAGCCGCCGCGGUAAUAC